GGCGGCAUGCCUUACACAUGCAAGUCGAACGGCAGCACGGGGGCAACCCUGGUGGCGAGUGGCGAACGGGUGAGUAAUACAUCGGAACGUGUCCUGUAGUGGGGGAUAGCCCGGCGAAAGCCGGAUUAAUACCGCAUACGAUCUACGGAAGAAAGCGGGGGAUCUUCGGACCUCGCGCUAUAGGGGCGGCCGAUGGCAGAUUAGCUAGUUGGUGGGGUAAAGGCCUACCAAGGCGACGAUCUGUAGCUGGUCUGAGAGGACGACCAGCCACACUGGGACUGAGACACGGCCCAGACUCCUACGGGAGGCAGCAGUGGGGAAUUUUGGACAAUGGGGGAAACCCUGAUCCAGCAAUGCCGCGUGUGUGAAGAAGGCCUUCGGGUUGUAAAGCACUUUUGUCCGGAAAGAAAACCUUUGAGUUAAUACCUUGGGGGGAU
rnacentral:rRNA from 1 species